UACAGAGGGUGCGAGCGUUGUCCGGAAUCACUGGGCGUAAAGGGCGCGUAGGCGGCUCAGUAGGUUGCGGUGAAAGCCCGGGGCUCAACCCCGGGUCGGCCGUGGCAACUGCUGGGCUGGAGCACUGUAGAGGCAGGUGGAAUUCCGGGUGUAGCGGUGGAAUGCGUAGAGAUCCGGAAGAACACCGGUGGCGAAGGCGGCCUGCUGGGCAGGUAGCUGGACGCUGAUGCGCGACAGCGAUGGGGAGCAA
rnacentral:rRNA from 1 species